rnacentral:lncRNA from 14 species
UGAAGACUGAAGUUGUUCUUAUUCCUGCCAGGACAGGUAGAAUUUCCACAUCAACAAAAUCGAAGCUGCUCAGGAGGAACAACUGCUGUUUGCUCUCCAUAAACUGCUGGUGUUCAGUCUGCAUGCACAGUUCUGUCAGAGGACUUGAAUGGGACUGCAAGGUGAGAGGAAGCAGCAGAGCUGGGAACAGCACACAGAUGUCCAGAGUCAACUCAAGGAACUCCAGACAAACACAGCAAGACAACCACCAGCACAGUGACACAGAAUCUCUCUGUUGUUCUGAGCUCUUGGGGUGAGUGCCCAAUGCUGCAAAACGCCCCUCCCCAUCCCU